rnacentral:rRNA from 1 species
GACGAACGCUGGCGGCGUGCUUAACACAUGCAAGUCGAACGUGAUUUUUGUGGAAAUUCUUUCGGGAAUGGAAAUGAAAUGAAAGUGGCGAACGGGUGAGUAACACGUGAGCAACCUACCUUACACAGGGGGAUAGCCGUUGGAAACGACGAUUAAUACCGCAUGAGACCACAGAAUCGCAUGAUAUAGGGGUCAAAGAUUUAUCGGUGUAAGAAGGGCUCGCGUCUGAUUAGCUAGUUGGAAGGGUAAAGGCCUACCAAGGCGACGAUCAGUAGCCGGUCUGAGAGGAUGAACGGCCACAUUGGAACUGAGACACGGUCCAAACUCCUACGGGAGGCAGCAGUGGGGAAUAUUGCACAAUGGGGGGAACCCUGAUGCAGCGACGCCGCGUGAGCGAAGAAGGUUUUCGAAUCGUAAAGCUCUGUCCUAUGAGAAGAUAAUGACGGUAUCAUAGGAGGAAGCCCCGGCUAAAUACGUGCCAGCAGCCGCGGUAAUACGUAUGGGGCGAGCGUUGUCCGGAAUUAUUGGGCGUAAAGGGUACGUAGGCGGUUUUUUAAGUCAGGUGUGAAAGCGUGAGGCUUAACCUCAUUAAGCACUUGAAACUGGAAGACUUGAGUGAAGGAGAGGAAAGUGGAAUUCCUAGUGUAGAGGUGAAAUGCGUAGAUAUUAGGAGGAAUACCGGUGGCGAAGGCGACUUUCUGGACUUUUACUGACGCUCAGGUACGAAAGCGUGGGGAGCAAACAGG